GGGGGUAUAGUUCAGUGGCAGAACAUCUCGUUCGCAACACUCGUUUCACGAGAAGGUCCGGAGUUCGAUCCUCCGUGCCUCCA